rnacentral:rRNA from 1 species
ACCCGCACAAGCGGUGGAUGAUGUGGUUUAAUUCGAUGCAACGCGAAAAACCUUACCCACCUUUGACAUGGCAGGAAUCCCGAAGAGAUUGGGAGUGCUCGAAAGAGAACCUGCACACAGGUGCUGCAUGGCUGUCGUCAGCUCGUGUCGUGAGAUGUUGGGUUAAGUCCCGCAACGAGCGCAACCCUUGCCAUUAGUUGCUACGAAAGGGCACUCUAAUGGGACUGCCGGUGACAAACCGGAGGAAGGUGGGGAUGACGUCAAGUCCUCAUGGCCCUUAUAGGUGGGGCUACACACGUCAUACAAUGGCCGGUACAGAGGGUAGCCAACCCGCGAGGGGGAGCCAAUCCCACAAAGCCGGUCGUAGUCCGGAUCGCAGUCUGCAACUCGACUGCGUGAAGUCGGAAUCGCUAGUAAUCGCGGAUCAGCAUGUCGCGGUGAAUACGUUCCCGGGUCUU